UUUUAAACGAAACUGAACAUUAGUAUGUAAUAAAACAAAAAUAUGCAAGUUUCGCUGUUAAAAUGGAAUUUUCGAACAAGAUGGAAGGCGAAUCCCAACUAAAAGGUGAUAUUAGAUUAUAAGCCAGAAGUGGAAAAUUAUGAAAGAUUAUGCCGCCCCCUUACGAUGCCGCCUGAUGCGACUGCCUCACCGCAUCAUAGCACCGCACGGCCCUGAUAAAAAUGUGUUCUAUAGUAUAAAUAAUUAUUUUUGACGUGUACUGUUUACAUUUUCUUUUAAGAUUCAUGUGCAUUUGUUGUUAAUUUGAUCAGUGAUUAUUUUUGUGUUUUAAAUUUCAAAAAUGUAAGAAAGCAAUAAAAGAAACAUAGUUGCUAACUUUACUUCAAGAAAAACUUAUGUUGAAAUAGUAAUGAUGAUUUUUUAGCUUAUAACAAUACAAAUUUUAUACCAAA
rnacentral:lncRNA from 1 species